rnacentral:rRNA from 1 species
GUGGGGAAUCUUGCGCAAUGGGCGAAAGCCUGACGCAGCCAUGCCGCGUGAAUGAUGAAGGUCUUAGGAUUGUAAAAUUCUUUCACCGGGGACGAUAAUGACGGUACCCGGAGAAGAAGCCCCGGCUAACUUCGUGCCAGCAGCCGCGGUAAUACGAAGGGGGCUAGCGUUGCUCGGAAUUACUGGGCGUAAAGGGCGCGUAGGCGGACAGUUUAGUCAGAGGUGAAAGCCCAGGGAUCAACCUUGGAAUUGCCUUUGAUACUGGCUGUCUUGAGUACGGGAGAGGUGAGUGGAACUCCGAGUGUAGAGGUGAAAUUCGUAGAUAUUCGGAAGAACACCAGUGGCGAAGGCGACUCACUGGCCCGUUACUGACGCUGAGGCGCGAAAGCGUGGGGAGCAAACAGGAUUAGAUACCCGGGUAGUCC